UUUGCUCCCUACGCUUUCGUGACUCAGCGUCAGUCUUGACCCAGAAGUUCGCCUUCGCCUCCGGUAUUCUUUCUGAUAUCAACAGAUUCCACCCUUACACCAGAAAUUCUAACUUCCUCUAUCAGACUCUAGACAUAUAGUUUCCAACAUAGGUCCACAGUUGAGCUGUGGUAUUUUAUGCAUAGACUUAUAUAUCCGCCUACUCACCCUUUACGCCCAAUAAUCCCGAACAACGCUCGCCCCUUACGUAUUACCGCGGCUGCUGGCACGUAAUUAGCCGGGGCUUAUUCAUAAAUUAACGUCAUCACUUUGUCAUUUCCUACAAAGCUUAUUCCUCAUUUAUAAAAGAAUUUUACAAUCUUUCGACCUUCUUCAUUCACGCAGUGUCGCUCCGUCAGGCUUUCGCCCAUUGCGGAAGAUUCUUAGCUGCUGCCUCCCGUAGGAGUCUGGACCGUAUCUCAGUUCCAGUGUGACCGUUCACCCUCUCAGGCCGGUUACUUAUCAUUGCCUUGGUAGGCAUUUACCCUACCAACUAGCUAAUAAGACGCAGACUCAUCUACAAGCGAAGCUUUAAAGGCUUCCUUUCAUCAAUUAACAAAUUAACUGACCUUAUUCGGUAUUAGCUACUAUUUCUAAUAGUUAUCCCCAUCUCAUAGGUAGAUCAUCCACGCGUUACUCACCCGUUCGCCACUGAAUGUAUUGCUACAUCCCGUUUGACUUGCAUGCUUAAGACGC
rnacentral:rRNA from 1 species